rnacentral:rRNA from 1 species
AAGGGUCCCUAACGAAGGCGUGAACCACCUCUUCCCAUCCCGAACAGAGAAGUGAAAGCGCCUUCUACCGAGGGUACUGCCUUAACCGGCGGGAGAGUAGGUGGGGCCCUUU